ensembl:lncRNA
UGAGUACUAGAUGGAAAGUAAAAUUUUCAGCUUUAAAUUAUUAGUGCUGCCGUUUAAAAAUAAAUAAAGAUACAAACUGCUGUGGGAACCCAGUACCUCCUAUCAUUUAUCUUAUGUUAACAAUGACUUAAAAGAAACUCCAAAACUGGCAAAAUGCCAUAUUGUGUCUCAAGGAAGAAAUAUUGGAGCCGAGCCUUGAAGGGUGGGUAUCUGACUUGCAGAGAUCAAGGAGAGGUUUCAGGGCAGAGAAGGAGUAUGAAGAAAGGCAUUAAGACCAGAAUAGGUGGGGCAGCCCCAGAGCACUGGAGGGGAGAGGAGAUGGCAGAGUAGCAGGCUCGGGGGCUGGGCAGGGUAGCAUGGGAGGGCCCGCAAGGCCAUGCUAGGAAGUUCUGCCUUCAUCUUACAGGCAAUGGCUAGGACAAUGGAGAUUUGGGGAGCUGAUCAGUGCUUUGUUGGGAUUUGUGCAGGCAGAAUGGGGCUUCCCAGGUGGCGCAAGUGAUAAAGAAUCUGCCUGCCAAUGCAUUAGAUGUAAGAGAUGCAAGUUCGAUCCCUGGGUUGGGAAGAUCCCUAGAGGAGGGCAUGGCAACCCACUCCAGUAUUCUUGCCUGGAGAACCCCAUGGACAGAGAAGCCUGGCAGGCUACAGGCCAUAAGGUCGCAGAGUCAGACACGAUUGAAGCGACUUAGCACGCAUGCAGGUAGGCAGAACGGAGGCUGCCUGGGAAAGAAAUAACAUGAGGCAAGGAAUCAGGCAGGAGGCUGAUACAAAUGUCUAGAGGGGACAUCUCUGGUGGCCCAGUGGUUAAGACUUCGCUUUCCAAAGCAGGGCAUAAGCAGCAUUGUAACAAAUUCAAUAAAGACUCUAAAAAUGGUCUACCAAAAAAUACAUAUAUUUAAGUAUCUAGAAUGAAGUAAAGUGAAGUUGCUCAGUCGUGUCCGACUCUUUGCGAUCCCGUGGACUGUAGCCCACCAGGCUCCUCCGUCCAUGGGGUUUUCCAAGCAAGAGUACUGGAGUGGGUUGCCAUUUCCUUCUCCAGGGGAUCUUCCUGACCCAGGGAUCGAUCCCAGGUCUCCUACACUGCAGGCAGACGCUUCACCCUCUGAGCCACCAGGGAAGCCAGUGAAGUAUCUAGAAUAAGAGUGAGCAAAUUUUUUAUAAAGGGCCCCCCAAAACACCCCAUCACCAACACAAUCAGUGUUAUUUCUUGGCCCCGUGCUUCGGCAUAUACUAUUCCCUCUGCUUGUAAUUCCAACAAACAUACCCUCCAAAAUUAUACAUUGGCUCAAUACUUACUAACCACUUACUCUGUGUCAAGUCCAUAAUCCC